rnacentral:rRNA from 1 species
GACGAACGCUGGCGGCGUGCCUAAUACAUGCAAGUAGAACGCACAGUUUAUACCGUAGCUUGCUACACCAUACACUGUGAGUUGCGAACGGGUGAGUAACGCGUAGGUAACCUGCCUGGUAGCGGGGGAUAACUAUUGAAAACGAUAGCUAAUACCGCAUAAUAUUGAUUAUUGCAUGAUAAUUGAUUGAAAGAUGCUAUUGCAUCACUACCAGAUGGACCUGCGUUGUAUUAGCUAGUAGGUGAGGUAACGGCUCACCUAGGCGACGAUACAUAGCCGACCUGAGAGGGUGAUCGGCCACACUGGGACUGAGACACGGCCCAGACUCCUACGGGAGGCAGCAGUAGGGAAUCUUCGGCAAUGGACGAAAGUCUGACCGAGCAACGCCGCGUGAGUGAAGAAGGUUUUCGGAUCGUAAAGCUCUGUUGUAAGAGAAGAACGGGUGUGAGAGUGGAAAGUUCACACUGUGACGGUAUCUUACCUGAAAGGGACGGCUAACUACGUG